AGCAGCCGCGGUAAUUCCAGCUCCAAUAGCGUAUAUUAAAGUUGUUGCAGUUAAAAAGCUCGUAGUUGAACUUCGGGCCAGGCGUACCGGUCCACCUAACGGUGAGCACUGGCGCGUUUGGCCUUCCUUCUGGCUAUCUAGGCUGCUCUUUACUGGGUGGCCUAGAGAACCAGGACUUUUACUUUGAAAAAAUUAGAGUGUUCAAAGCAGGCUAACGCUUGAAUACAUUAGCAUGGAAUAAUGAAAUAGGACUCUGGUACUAUUUUGUUGGUUUCUAGGACUGGAGUAAUGAUUAAUAGGGACAGUUGGGGGCAUUAGUAUUUCAGAGUCAGAGGUGAAAUUCUUGGGUUUCUGAAAGACUAACUACUGCGAAAGCAUUUGCCAAGGAUGUUUUCAUUAAUCAAGAACGAAAGUUAGGGGAUCGAAGACGAUUAGAUACCGUCGUAGUCUUAACCAUAAACUAUGCCGACUCGGGAUCGGAGGGAUGUGUUUCUGCACCUUUCGGCACCGUAUGAGAAAUCAAAGUCUUUGGGUUCUGGGGGGAGUACAGUCGCAAGUCUGAAACUUAAAGGAAUUGACGGAAGGGCACCACCAGGAGUGGAGCCUGCGGCUUAAUUUGACUCAACACG
rnacentral:rRNA from 1 species